AUAGCGCUGGAAACGGCGUCUAAUACUGGAUACGACCGACCCUCGCAUGGGGUGUUGGUGGAAAGAUUUAUCGGUGGUGGAUGGACUCGCGGCCUAUCAGCUUGUUGGUGGGGUAAUGGCCUACCAAGGCGACGACGGGUAGCCGGCCUGAGAGGGCGACCGGCCACACUGGGACUGAGACACGGCCCAGACUCCUACGGGAGGCAGCAGUGGGGAAUAUUGCACAAUGGGCGAAAGCCUGAUGCAGCGACGCCGCGUGAGGGAUGACGGCCUUCGGGUUGUAAACCUCUUUCAGCAGGGAAGAAGCUUUUGUGACGGUACCUGCAGAAGAAGCACCGGCUAACUACGUGCCAGCAGCCGCGGUAAUACGUAGGGUGCGAGCGUUGUCCGGAAUUAUUGGGCGUAAAGAGCUUGUAGGCGGUUUGUCGCGUCUGCUGUGAAAAUUCAGGGCUUAACCCUGGACGUGCAGUGGGUACGGGCAGACUAGAGUAUGGUAGGGGAGACUGGAAUUCCUGGUGUAGCGGUGGAAUGCGCAGAUAUCAGGAGGAACACCGAUGGCGAAGGCAGGUCUCUGGGCCAUUACUGACGCUGAGAAGCGAAAGCAUGGGGAGCGAACAGGAUUAGAUACCCUGGUAGUCCAUGCCGUAAACGUUGGGCGCUAGGCGUGGGUCUCAUUCCACGAGAUCCGUGUCGCAGCUAACGCAUUAAGCGCCCCGCCUGGGGAGUACGGCCGCAAGGCUAAAACUCAAAGGAAUUGACGGGGGCCCGCACAAGCGGCGGAGCAUGCUGAUUAAUUCGAUGCAACGCGAAGAACCUUACCAAGGCUUGACAUGCACCGGAUCGCCUCAGAGAUGGGGUUUCCCUUUGGGCUGGUGCACAGGUGGUGCAUGGUUGUCGUCAGCUCGUGUCGUGAGAUGUUGGGUUAAGUCCCGCAACGAGCGCAACCCUCGUUCUAUGUUGCCAGCACUUAAUGGUGGGGACUCAUAGGAGACUGCCGGGGUCAACUCGGAGGAAGGUGGGGAUGACGUCAAAUCAUCAUGCCCCUUAUGUCUUGGGCUUCAAGCAUGCUACAAUGGCCGGUACAGAGGGUUUCGAAACCCUGAGGUGGAGCGAAUCCCAAAAAACCGGUCUCAGUUCGGAUUGGGGUCUGCAACUCGACCCCAUGAAGUCGGAGUCGCUAGUAAUCGCAGAUCAGCAACGCUGCGGUGAAUA
rnacentral:rRNA from 1 species